rnacentral:rRNA from 1 species
GCGCGUAAACAAAUCACCCCGAAUGUGCCCAUCUCAUCAGAGCUCGCAAGCGAAGCAGGAAUUAGCCUGGCUAACAUUCACACGGGAGACUGCUUGGGAAUACCAGCUGUUGUCGGCU